UGGGGAAUUGUUAGCAAUGGGCGCAAGCCUGACGACGCAACGCCGCGUGGAGGAUGAAGACCUUCGGGUCGUAAACUCCUUUCGAUCGAGACGAAUGGCCUCCGGGUGAAUAAUCCGGAGGAGUGACGGUACCGAGAGAAGAAGCCCCGGCUAACUCCGUGCCAGCAGCCGCGGUAAUACGGGGGGGGCAAGCGUUGUUCGGAAUUACUGGGCGUAAAGGGCUCGUAGGUGGCCAACUAAGUCAGACGUGAAAUCCCUCGGCUUAACCGGGGAACUGCAUCUGAUACUGGAUGGCUUGAGUUUGGGCGAGGGACGCGGAAUUCCAGGUGUAGCGGUGAAAUGCGUAGAUAUCUGGAGGAACACCGGUGGCGAAGGCGGCGUCCUGGACCAAUACUGACACUGAUGAGCGAAAGCCAGGGGAGCAAACGGG
rnacentral:rRNA from 1 species